rnacentral:rRNA from 1 species
GAUGAACGCUGGCGGCGUGCCUAAUACAUGCAAGUCGAGCGAACGGACGAGAAGCUUGCUUCUCUGAUGUUAGCGGCGGACGGGUGAGUAACACGUGGAUAACCUACCUAUAAGACUGGGAUAACUUCGGGAAACCGGAGCUAAUACCGGAUAAUAUUUUGAACCGCAUGGUUCAAAAGUGAAAGACGGCCUUGCUGUCACUUAUAGAUGGAUCCGCGCUGCAUUAGCUAGUUGUUAAGGUAACGGCUUACCAAGGCAACGAUGCAUAGCCGACCUGAGAGGGUGAUCGGCCACACUGGAACUGGGACACGGUCCAGAGUCCUACGGGAGGCAGCAGUAGGGAAUCUUCCGCAAAGGGCGAAAGCCUGACGGAGCAAUGCCGCGUGAGUGAUGAAGGUCUUCGGAUCGUAAAACUCUGUUAUUAGGGAAGAACAUAUGUGUAAGUAACUGUGCACAUCUUGACGGUACCUAAUCAGAAAGCCACGGCUAACUACGUG